rnacentral:rRNA from 1 species
AUUGAACGCUGGCGGCAUGCUUUACACAUGCAAGUCGAACGGUAACAGGCCGCAAGGUGCUGACGAGUGGCGAACGGGUGAGUAAUGUAUCGGAACGUGCCCAGUCGUGGGGGAUAACGCAGCGAAAGCUGUGCUAAUACCGCAUACGAUCUAUGGAUGAAAGCGGGGGACCGUAAGGCCUCGCGCGAUUGGAGCGGCCGAUAUCAGAUUAGGUAGUUGGUGGGGUAAAGGCUCACCAAGCCGACGAUCUGUAGCUGGUCUGAGAGGACGACCAGCCACACUGGGACUGAGACACGGCCCAGACUCCUACGGGAGGCAGCAGUGGGGAAUUUUGGACAAUGGGCGCAAGCCUGAUCCAGCAAUGCCGCGUGCAGGACGAAGGCCUUCGGGUUGUAAACUGCUUUUGUGCGGAGCGAAAAGGCUUUCUCUAAUACAGGAGGCUGAUGACGGUACCGUAAGAAUAAGCACCGGCUAACUACGUGCCAGCCGCCGCCGUAAGAC